rnacentral:rRNA from 1 species
UACAUAGGUCCCGAGCGUUGUCCGGAUUUAUUGGGCGUAAAGCGAGCGCAGGUGGUUUAUUAAGUCUGGUGUAAAAGGCAGUGGCUCAACCAUUGUAUGCAUUGGAAACUGGUAGACUUGAGUGCAGGAAAGGAGAGUGGAAUUCCAUGUGUAGCGGUGAAAUGCGUAGAUAUAUGGAGGAACACCGGUGGCGAAAGCGGCUCUCUGGCCUGUAACUGACACUGAGGCUCGAAAGCGUGGGGAGCAAACAGG